UGCGCAUAUACAAGGUCAAACCCCCGAAGAAUAGGUCUUGAGGAGAGGAAUCAUCUCUUGGUUAGUAUCUGGUGCUAUUACCUUGAGGUACAUUGUGUCAAGUCAAAACGUAUUGGAGUUCCUACAGGAGACGGGCAAUUGAUUUGAAAAUCUGCAUCAGCUGCCCCCAAGUGCGAUCUUUUGUUUUGGUGAGACUGACGGAAGUAGACCAUAGGUCAGUUUGAAGUAACGAUCAUCCGUCUUCCCCUAUAUCAUUUUGUUAGAUGUAAUCAGGUGCCAUUCAGAACUAGCAAUUGCGACGACCGAGUACUUUUUGAUUGCUGAGCAUGGUAUGACAGUACUCCAGAUGUUUUUGUAAGCACAACAGCUUAUUUGCGUAGUAACUUUAGAUCGGGUUACACGGGACACUUGCAAUUUUCUGGUGUUGAAGACAACAAUGAAUAACUUAACUGUGGUUGCUCUGUUUUCCUCUGUGAGCUCUCAUCAUCUUGUGGCAAUCGCAGUAGUCGUUUUUAUGUUAAUAAAUGAUGCCUAU
rnacentral:sRNA from 1 species